AGAAUCAAAACAACCCAAAAUUGACUUUGCCAAGGCAGCAAAAUCAAGUUCAGCUUGCUUUCUUAAUUUUGGGGUGUUGUCAAUGCACCAAAACCAAAGUUCGUUGCUGGAACUGACCACCCCAAAAAAAUUUCCCUUCAGUUUUACUUAUAGUUUUGUUUUGUUCCCAAAAAAGUCGGUCACUUUCGAAAGAAUGGUCUGGAUUAUUGGAAGGAAUCGUUUGUUCACCAUACGUCUCUUCUUCGGAAGACGUGUCCAGCCCAUCUAUUUCAUUCGGGUUUGGAACAAUCUAACCUAAAUAUCGAAUAAAACUGGCUGACCGGAAGUCCGGAACGUGGAAGAAGGUAUUCGGAAAAUCGGAACGUUCUCUUACUGUAACCGGGAGCAUCAGUAAGCAUGUAUCGAUAUGCUGGGACCAUCCAAAAUAGACUGCAGUGCAGUGACUGAAUUAAUCGCCGGAAGAUUUUUGGAAACGAUUUAACAGUUCCGGUUACUACGAAGGUCUAUGAGGUUUCAGAUGACUGGCCGGAUUCGUCGUUCAGGGCAAUCCAACAUUUUCGAUCAGUUCUCUUCGUUGGCUUCUUACUCUUUUUAUCCAGACCGGCAAUCAUGAAUAAUAGUGCCUUCCGAUGGCUAAAAAUUCGGUUUCUAUUAAGUUAAGUUCUCGAUUUGGAAAAAAAGUAUUCCUGCCUUCAAUGGUCAC